GGGUCGUUAGCUCAGUUGGUAGAGCAGUUGACUUUUAAUCAAUUGGUCACAGGUUCGAAUCCCGCACGACCCACCA
rnacentral:tRNA from 1 species